UACGUAGGGGGCAAGCGUUGUCCGGAAUCAUUGGGCGUAAAGAGCGUGUAGGCGGCUCGGUAAGUCCGCUGUGAAAGUCCAGGGCUCAACCCUGGAAUGCCGGUGGAAACUGUCGAGCUCGAGUCCGGAAGAGGCGAGUGGAAUUCCUGGUGUAGCGGUGAAAUGCGCAGAUAUCAGGAGGAACACCAAUGGCGAAGGCAGCUCGCUGGGACGGUACUGACGCUAAGGCGCGAAAGCGUGGGGAG
rnacentral:rRNA from 1 species